rnacentral:rRNA from 1 species
CCUACGGGAGGCUGCAGUAGGGAAUAUUGCUCAAUGGGGGAAACCCUGAAGCAGCAACGCCGCAUGAAGGAUGAAGGUUCUCGGAUUGUAAACCCCUUUUGUCAGAGAAGAAAAUGACGGUACCUAACGAAGAAGCACCGGCUAACUCCGUGCCAGCAGCCGCGGUAAUACGUAGGGUGCAAGCGUUAUCCGGAAUGACUGGGCGUAAAGAGCGCGUAGGCGGGGUAGCAAGUCAGAUGUGAAAUCCUAUGGCUUAACCAUAGUACUGCGCUGGAAACUGUUGAUCUUGAGUGUGGGAGAGGUAGGUGGAAUUCUUGGUGUAGGGGUGAAAUGCGUAGAGAUCAGGAGGAAUAC